AGAAAAGAAACCCUAAAAGCCCUAUAAUAUUCUCUGCUCCCUCACUUCCCCUUGUUCUCCAGCAGAAGGACUAAGCCUCAAAAGCUGUCGAAAUCGGACUGUGAUGAACGGAAUUGAGCCCUCCAACGGCGUAAGUGUGAUGCAACUCCAGUAGGUCUCCCUCUCUUUCUUAUAUAUUUUAGUAUAUGUUGUGGAUUCGAAUGAAAAAAAUAAAAAGAAAAACAGAAUAAAGUUGCAAUAAAUAACCACCUCUUAAGUAUUCUUUGGUUGCUUUCUACUGAUUUUGUGUGUAUUUUGUAUUCAAAUUCGUAAAAUAAAAACAAAUCAAUACUCAUGGCUUUUUAUAGCCCAAAAAAUACAACAGUUUCCUAUUGACCUCACAUCCAUUUUUGCCGAUACGUGGGAACGGCAUGGUGGAGAACGACGUGGUUCGUGGGUGCGAACGUGGAACGGAGCGUGGAGGCCAUGGGACGUGCGGUGGCUGAGACUCUCAAGUAGCUUAGGGUUUCCUUAUUUUUUGAUUUGGGCUAUUAGGGUUUGGGUUUGUAGUUGGGCUUAGGUUUAGUUUUAAUUUUUAGUGAUUUGGGUUUUUGGUUGUUAAUUCGUCUUUAGGCUGGAAUUAGGUACUUGGGCUCGGGCUAAAAAUUGGGUCUACAAUCAACAUUAAUAUUGUUUUUAUUUUUCCUCAAUAGUUUUUGCACACAAACCAAAAUGUAAGCAAAUAUUAGCUCACUGAUUUCCUAAUGUUUAACUAAUAUUAAAUUGCAUUGUGUGGCCGAAUCAUAAUGCACGAAGACAACUUGUAUUAGUAGGUAAUCAAAAAGGUCCAUAGUCUGAUGAAUUUAAAUUGAGCAAAUCGGUUAAAGGACAAUUAUGUUGUCUAUCAAGUCCAAUUAGGGAGAUAUAUUGUCUUGGACAUAGUAGUGGUUGACUCCCAAAAGAUAGAGACAUAGGUGUGAUUGUCCGGAUUAAUAAUACAUUGGACAAGACUUAAGUCGAAUUAAU
rnacentral:lncRNA from 1 species